rnacentral:rRNA from 1 species
GGGGGGGGGGGGGGGGGGGGGGGGGGGGGGGGGGGGGGGGGGGGGGAGGGGGGGGGGGCGGCGCGGGGGGUAGGGGCGGGCGGGGGAGUAACACGGGGGGAACCGACCGAGGAGGCUGGGAGAACUUCGGGGAACGGGAGCUAAGACCGGAGAAUAUAGUGAACCGCAGGGGUCAAUAGGGAAAGACGGGUUUGCUGUCACUUAUAGAUGGAUCCGCGCCGCAUUAGCUAGUUGGUAAGGUAACGGCUUACCAAGGCAACGAUGCGUAGCCGACCUGAGAGGGUGAUCGGCCACACUGGAACUGAGACACGGUCCAGACUCCUACGGGAGGCAGCAGUAGGGAAUCUUCCGCAAUGGGCGAAAGCCUGACGGAGCAACGCCGCGUGAGUGAUGAAGGUCUUCGGAUCGUAAAACUCUGUUAUUAGGGAAGAACAAAUGUGUAAGUAACUAUGCACGUCUUGACGGUACCUAAUCAGAAAGCCACGGCUAACUACGUG